CCCUUAGAUGUUCUGGGCAGCACGCGCGCUACAAUGGUCUUCGCAAACGGAUGCAUUCUCGAAGGAGAAUGCCAAUCUUGGAAUCUAUGCCUUGGUCGGGACAGUUGCUUGCAAUUUUUCGACUCGAACCAGGAAUUCCUUGUAAUCGUGAUUCAUCACAUCACGAUGAAUACGUCCCUGCCCUUUGUACACACCGCCCGUCGCUCCUACCGAUUGAACGAUCCGGUGAAUUAUUUGGAGUAGCUCUGGAAGUUGCAGAACUUCCUAUGUCACGAAAUUUUGUAAACCUUAUCGUUUAGAGGAAGGAAAAGUCGUAACA
rnacentral:rRNA from 1 species